GAUGAACGCUGGCGGCGUGCCUAACACAUGCAAGUCGAACGGAGAUUACGGACGGAAGUUUUCGGAUGGAAGCCUGUAAUUCUUAGUGGCGGACGGGUGAGUAACGCGUGGGCAACCUGCCCUAUACAGGGGGAUAGCAGCUGGAAACGGCUGGUAAGACCGCAUAAGUCGGCGAGACCGCAUGGUUUUGCCGGGAAAUGAGCAAUCAGGUAUAGGAUGGGCCCGCGUCCGAUUAGCCAGUUGGCAGGGUAAAAGCCUACCAAAGCAACGAUCGGUAGCCGGACUGAGAGGUCGGACGGCCACAUUGGGACUGAGACACGGCCCAAACUCCUACGGGAGGCAGCAGUGGGGGAUAUUGCACAAUGGAGGAAAAUCUGAUGCAGCGACGCCGCGUGAGUGAAGAAGUAUUUCGGUAUGUAAAGCUCUAUCAGCAGGGAAGAUGAUGACGGUACCUGACUAAGAAGCCCCGGCUAACUACGUG
rnacentral:rRNA from 1 species